rnacentral:rRNA from 1 species
GACGAACGCUGGCGGCGUGCUUAACACAUGCAAGUCGAACGGAAAGGCCCUGCUUUUGUGGGGUGCUCGAGUGGCGAACGGGUGAGUAACACGUGAGUAACCUGCCCUUGACUUUGGGAUAACUUCAGGAAACUGGGGCUAAUACCGGAUAGGAGCUCCGGCUGCAUGGUGGGGGUUGGAAAGUUUCGGCGGUUGGGGAUGGACUCGCGGCUUAUCAGCUUGUUGGUGGGGUAGUGGCUUACCAAGGCUUUGACGGGUAGCCGGCCUGAGAGGGUGACCGGCCUCAUUGGGACUGAGAUACGGCCCAGACUCCUACGGGAGGCAGCAGUGGGGAAUAUUGCACAAUGGGCGGAAGCCUGAUGCAGCAACGCCGCGUGCGGGAUGACGGCCUUCGGGUUGUAAACCGCUUUCGCCUGUGACGAAGCGUGAGUGACGGUAAUGGGUAAAGAAGCACCGGCUAACUACGUG